UAACGCGUGGGAAUCUGCCCUGGAGUGUGGGAUAACCCGGCGAAAGCCGGGCUAAUACCGCAUACGACCUGAGGGUGAAAGAUUUAUCGCUCUAGGAGGGGCCCGCGUCGGAUUAGCUAGUUGGUGAGGUAACGGCUCACCAAGGCGAUGAUCCGUAGGUGGUCUGAGAGGAUGAUCAGCCACACUGGGACUGAGACACGGCCCAGACUCCUACGGGAGGCAGCAGUGGGGAAUAUUGGACAAUGGGGGCAACCCUGAUCCAGCAAUGCCGCUUGGUUGAUGAAGGCCUUAGGGUUGU
rnacentral:rRNA from 1 species